rnacentral:misc_RNA from 1 species
UUCAUGUUCUCCGGGAUGAAUGUGACAUUGCCACCGGAUAACCUACUAAUCCACAGCACAGCCGGCAGCACCACAUGCCUGGCCAUGGCAGCAGCACCAGAGAAUGUGAAUUCAGUGCUAAAUGUGAUAGCCAACAUGCAGCAACAAAACCAUAGGAUACUUUUUGAUGUGCCCAAUUCAAGGCUUGGUGUGGCUCGAGAGCAAUGCUCAUGAUUUUUCUGAUUUUUUAA